rnacentral:rRNA from 1 species
UACGUAGGGGGCAAGCGUUGUCCGGAAUCAUUGGGCGUAAAGAGCGUGUAGGCGGCCAGAUAAGUCCGCUGUGAAAUCUCGAGGCUCAACUUCGAGCUGUCGGUGGAAACUGUCUGGCUAGAGUUCGGAGGAGGAGAAUGGAAUUCCUGGUGUAGCGGUGAAAUGCGCAGAUAUCAGGAAGAACACCCGUGGCGAAGGCGGUUCUCUGGGACGGUACUGACGCUGAGACGCGAAAGCGUGGGGAGCGAACAGG